rnacentral:rRNA from 1 species
AGAGUUUGAUCAUGGCUCAGAUUGAACGCUGGCGGCAGGCCUAACACAUGCAAGUCGAACGGUAACAGGAAGAAGCUUGCUUCUUUGCUGACGAGUGGCGGACGGGUGAGUAAUGUCUGGGAAACUGCCUGAUGGAGGGGGAUAACUACUGGAAACGGUAGCUAAUACCGCAUAACGUCGCAAGACCAAAGAGGGGGACCUUCGGGCCUCUUGCCAUCGGAUGUGCCCAGAUGGGAUUAGCUAGUAGGUGGGGUAACGGCUCACCUAGGCGACGAUCCCUAGCUGGUCUGAGAGGAUGACCAGCCACACUGGAACUGAGACACGGUCCAGACUCCUACGGGGGGCAGCAGUGGGGAAUAUUGCACAAUGGGCGCAAGCCUGAUGCAGCCAUGCCGCGUGUAUGAAGAAGGCCUUCGGGUUGUAAAGUACUUUCAGCGGGGAGGAAGGGAGUAAAGUUAAUACCUUUGCUCAUUGACGUUACCCGCAGAAGAAGCACCGGCUAACUCCGUGCCAGCAGCCGCGGUAAUACGGAGGGUGCAAGCGUUAAUCGGAAUUACUGGGCGUAAAGCGCACGCAGGCGGUUUGUUAAGUCAGAUGUGAAAUCCCCGGGCUCAACCUGGGAACUGCAUCUGAUACUGGCAAGCUUGAGUCUCGUAGAGGGGGGUAGAAUUCCAGGUGUAGCGGUGAAAUGCGUAGAGAUCUGGAGGAAUACCGGUGGCGAAGGCGGCCCCCUGGACGAAGACUGACGCUCAGGUGCGAAAGCGUGGGGAGCAAACAGGAUUAGAUACCCUGGUAGUCCACGCCGUAAACGAUGUCGACUUGGAGGUUGUGCCCUUGAGGCGUGGCUUCCGGAGCUAACGCGUUAAGUCGACCGCCUGGGGAGUACGGCCGCAAGGUUAAAACUCAAAUGAAUUGACAGGGGCCCGCACAAGCGGUGGAGCAUGUGGUUUAAUUCGAUGCAACGCGAAGAACCUUACCUGGUCUUGACAUCCACGGAAGUUUUCAGAGAUGAGAAUGUGCCUUCGGGAACCGUGAGACAGGUGCUGCAUGGCUGUCGUCAGCUCGUGUUGUGAAAUGUUGGGUUAAGUCCCGCAACGAGCGCAACCCUUAUCCUUUGUUGCCAGCGGUCCGGCCGGGAACUCAAAGGAGACUGCCAGUGAUAAACUGGAGGAAGGUGUGGAUGACGUCAAGUCAUCAUGGCCCUUACGACCAGGGCUACACACGUGCUACAAUGGCGCAUACAAAGAGAAGCGACCUCGCGAGAGCAAGCGGACCUCAUAAAGUGCGUCGUAGUCCGGAUUGGAGUCUGCAACUCGACUCCAUGAAGUCGGAAUCGCUAGUAAUCGUGGAUCAGAAUGCCACGGUGAAUACGUUCCCGGGCCUUGUACACACCGCCCGUCACACCAUGGGAGUGGGUUGCAAAAGAAGUAGGUAGCUUAACCUUCGGGAGGGCGCUUACCACUUUGUGAUUCAUGACUGGGGUGAAGUCGUAACAAGGUA